GCAGACCUUAGAAAUCACCUCUUCGCGGUAGAAUUCCCCUAGAAACCGCUGAAAAAUAAGCUUUCCAUUGCUAAAGCCCUCCCCUCCCCCAUCUCCGCUUAAUCUCCCCCACUCCCCAAAUAGGCUGGGGCUGGCCGCAGAUCCACACUCUCCCCGGCCUUGACAUCUUGAUGUUUAACCCCUUAAGUACCCACACUGCCGGCAACACAUUCCCUUUCUGCUGUGACAGUCACAGACUCUCAGCCAAACCAGACCUUCAGAAUCAAAUGGAACCCCGACCCCUGGUCCAUCAAGAAAUGCAGCCUGUGAAAGACAGUUGGAACGAGCCAGCCAGAGUGAUCUUUUUGUCCGUGGCUGAAUCUGUGUGAAAUCUCCACAAGGACAUUAAAAAUGUGUGGCAAGUCAGGAACAGUGUUCACCAGCAGGCUCGAAUCGUGUUGGCUUGAUGGGGUGUAUGCAUGCUCCAGUCCUGUUGGCUUGAUGGGGUGUAUGCAUGUGCCAGUCCUGUUGAUUUGCGAUCGAAAACAGCCCCUGGUUUUAUUUCUCCUGGGGUUUCUGGCCUUAGGAAGCUCUUUUCUGAAGUUAUUGUUAAAUUCUCCCCAAGGGCUGGCUCUGGCCCUCAAGACUUGCUUGGAGAGAGAAUGAGUGCUGUUCCCCAGGUCAGGGUUUCAGAAUGGCUGCAGGAUGCGGCUGGCUCCCAGGACUGCUGUCCCUUGCCAAUUUGGGCACCUCAUAAUUCAAGUCUUUUGCUUUUAAAAUGAGGCUAAAAGUUUCCUCAUGAAGUUAAGUGGAGAUUAAUUCUAUGGCCUAGAAAUUCUACUCCGAGUUAAAACUCAGGCAACUGGAGGCCCAUGCAGCUCUGGCUGUAGCAUCAACCAGCGAUGGAACAUUAUACAGUCCUGAGAGUCCUGUGAUCUGUGAGGAGGGGAGACUCUGCACUGUUGAUCUGACACCCUGCACCAGAGUGCCCCACGUUGAUUAAAUCCAAAAGAUGGGAAACUCAAAUAUGGAAGGCCAACUGCAUAUGGAGCUGGUAUCUGAUGAAAGAUUGAAUGUAAAAAAAAAAAAAGAAGUAUCUUCUACUUGAAACCACAGUUCUACAUGAUUAUUUUAUGUGUGUGGUACAUUCCUGUCCCUCCACACUCCCUCUCCACUCCUCCAAGGCCAACACAGCCAGUGCUCCCCAGCCUGGUCCAGAACAGCCGGCCCCACAGAAGAUGGUGCAUCCUCCUGGUUCUUGGUGGGAAGAGGCAGUCCCCUGCUGUAGGAUUGUGGUGUGAGCAAAGCAGGCCUUUGCAGCAUGGAAAGCACCUCGUGGGUCCAAGGUGGGCUCGGUGGACGGAUGGCAUCCAUUCUUAGGGCACCAGCUGCAGCAGCAGUGGCUGGGACUGUCCUCAGGGACCACUGCAGGUGGUGGAAACCAUAAACCAAUGGGUCCAUGUUCCCAACAGGAAACCUACAGCUGCUCAGAGACAGCUGGGAAGACUGGGGAGGAAGGUGCUGCUGUCACAUAAAUGGGGACAGGACUACCAGCCAGGACAAUUUGGUAAUUACUAUGAAUGUGACUCCAUAUUUUGCAAAGUCUGGGAAGUUAAUAUUUAUACGUGUUUUAAAAUAUUAAAAUGGAUCAUACCCCAGUUUGGUUAAGUAAGUUAUUUGCUUUAACAUGAUCACAUAAACUUUUUUUCUGUAGCUAGAUGAUCGUAAUGGUUUUCAAACUAUGUUCUAUAGUGUCACCCAGUUCUUGAGGCCCGAAAGGUGGUUUCUGUGCUUUCCCAGGGGAAAGAGUUAAUUUUGCAAGGUAGAAAGAGAAAGAAUCUGUGUUCUCACCAUCUAGUAUACCCAGAAUAGCUCUACUUUCAACAGUACCGUCUACUGGGAUUCCAUGAAAGACUGAAUAGAAAAGGGAUGUGUCCUCUAUGAAAAGUAGUUGAAACCACAGUUCUACAUGAUUAUUAAAUGUUGUAUAGUGUUUCAUUAUGUGGAUAAAGGAUAAUUUAUUAAUCAAGCCCCUACUUUUGGACAUUCGGUUUAUAUAUAAGUUAGGAGUUAUGUUCAGCUGCAAAUAUCAAACUCAUGAAAGACAAUAUCUUAGAUACAGGAGGGUUUUAUUUUUCUCAUGUAAAGAAAUAUCUGGAAGGAAGUAGUGCUGGCACUGGUUGUGGUCAUCCUAACACCCCAGGGAGUUCCAGGCAGAGGCUUAAGUCAGAAGGGAGCUGAACAGAUUCACCCCACAAAGCAUUUUCCUGGAGUAUCCCCUUGACUUCUGCUUACAUCUCAUCGGCCACCCACCCCUACCUGCAAAGAAUCCAUGUUAGCAGAACACGUUGCCUCUUUUCUACAAAAAUGGGGUUCGAUUAGUAGAAAAGAAGAGAAUAUUAGAAAAAAACAACUAAGCUAUUGUCAUGAGAAUCCUUUCCGCCAUAUCCUUGAAGUUCCCUCACAACCGAAAUUUUUCCAUACGAUGAAAUCAUUGAAAAGCAAAUUGUUCCUUUACAGAGCCGUGAAUUGUUCUAAGACUUCUCAAAUAAGUUGCCCUUUAGAAAUGUACUAAUUUACAUUCUCGCAAGCAGUGUCUAAUGAAAAAGAACCUAUUUAACAGAAAUAUUGAUAUAAUGUCUCUUUAUUUUUAAGCUUUGCUAAUUUAACAAGCAAAUUUUUCAUUUUUUCUUAACUGUUUAAAAAAAUAUUUGUAAGAUAUGCAAGUUCAUAUCAGCAUGGUGUGUAUGCCCUAGAGCAGGGCUUUUAAAAUUGCAAUGUGUACACAAAUAACCUGGGAUCUCAUUUAAAUGCAGAUUCUGAUGAGACAGGUGAGGGAUGCAGCUGAGAAUCUGCAUUUCAUAAGCCCCUGGAUGUCACCAAGUACUGCUGUGUCACAUUAUGAGUGGCAUGGUCCUAGGGAUCCCAUCAGUGCAAUUGUAGCUUUUGUAAAUCCCUGGAUAAGUUUAUGCCGAAGCCUAGAAGAUGAGAGGAGGAGGGGGCAAGCAGGAGGAAGAAUCCAGAACAAGGCGAUAUACUGUGAGGACCUCAUCGUGUCUGUGGAACACCCCAGUGAGUUGGGGCCCAAGCACUCUGCUGCAGUUUGAAUGUGUUCUCCAAAGUUCACAUGUUGGAAAGUUGCUCCCCAAUGCAUCUGUGUUGAGAGUUGAGACCUUCAAGAGAUGAUGAGGUCAUUUAGGGCUCUGUCCUCAUGAACAGAUGGUCAUUAUCUAGGGAGUAGGUUGUUAUAACAGCCCCUCUUGCUCUCUCUUGUGUGUGCUUUCUUGCUCUUCUGCCUUCUGCCAUGGGAUUGUUACCGGGUUAAGUCAGGGCUGCUUGCCUCUUGAGGGCUAAUAUCGGAGACUAGAAUUGAUGCAAAGGGAUCAGAUUUGUUCAGGGACUGGCCCUAAAGAAGAUGGAGGGCCUCUCAUCCCCAAAGGUCCAUCUUGGGGAGGUGUCAUAGGGAAGGAAAAGUACAGUGAGAUAUAGGUAGGAAGACUGUAGGUUGAGUGGGGUCUUCAUCAUCCAGGGCUUUCUGUCUGUCUGUCUCUCUCUCUCUCUCUCUCUCUGUCUUUCUCUGUCUCCCCCCCAUCUCUCUCUCCUUUCUCCCUCUUUUUCUUCCCUCUAGCCAGAUCCUUGUAAUCCACUUCAACCUUCUGGGGCUAGUUCUUGUACUUUUUUAAAAACAGACAUAUUCUCCUGCAAGUUAAACCACACAGCAGUUUACGCGCUUGGUGUUGGUUGAUACAGAACUAAAGACUAAAAUGUAUUACAAAGAUUACCAGAUGUUUUGGGUUCCAUAGAUCAGAAGAAAGAUUAUUUAGCAGUUAACAUCUUUACCAUUUAGGUGGGGCUUCUCUUUGGAAUUUAGGGUGCUAGACAAAAGGGAGGGGAUGGAAAGCUUGCAGAAGGGCCAAGGGAGUGGCGGUGGCAAUAACUCUGCCAAGGACAACUCCCAGAGGAGCAGCUGCUGCUAUAGGGCGACACAAGAAGACUUUACCAGAUACAGGGCCUCAGUCUUGGAGUUCCCAGUCUCCAGAACAGUGAGAAAUAAAUCUCCAGCUGGAGCUGGAACUCAGUGGUAGAGCGCUUGCCCAGCAUGUGUGAGGCACUGGGUUCGAUUCUCAGCACCCCAUAUAAAUAAAAUAAAGGCUUAUCAACAACUAAAAAAUAUUUUUAAAAAAGAAAAAGAAAGAAAAAAAAAUCUCUAUUCCUGAUUAAUUCCGCAGUCUUGAGUAUUCUGUUGUAGUAACACAAAAUGACCGAGACACCUUACCCAGGCUUCCCACUCCCUUCCUGAGAUUCCUGGCCCUAUGACUCAGGUAGAGCAGUGAAGGAUAGGAGGGGCACUGGAGAGAUUGCCUCUGUUUAUGCUCCUGACCUUGAAAUGUGAAGAUAUAAGGAAAAAUCAUGAAAAGGACAUUGAAAGAGCUUUUCAAAAAGGAGUAGAGAGGCGAUUAGGGAAACCCUUAGGACUUGGACAACUCAAGCCACUGCCCAGAAAUGUGAGCUUCGGUUACCUUCAACCUUGACCUAGAACAGAUUGUGGCCCCAGAGUCGACAUGCACUCAAGAGGCUGCUGCACUUUGAUUUUGUGCACAUUUUUACCAAGUACAUGCAUUCUUUUCUUAAUCUUCUAUCAAUCACACUGUACCUGUCACCACAGCCCUUGUUCUCAACUCCAAAUGACAUUUCACCACAAAAGAAUUUUUACUGCUAAGUAAUAAAACAACACUAUUUGCUCCCAUAAGUUCUCACCUCCCCCACCUUCGAAACACUGAUUUGAAACUGUUUACGUCUGUGUUUUCUGAAUUGCAAUUUCUAAAACCCCAAUAAAGUCCUUUUUAUUGUUACAAUAAAAGGUUGUUCGGAUGGAUCAA